CAGUGCCACGGUAAUACGUAGGGUGCGAGCGUUAAUCGGAAUUACUGGGCGUAAAGCGUGCGCAGGCGGUUGUGUAAGACAGGUGUGAAAUCCCCGGGCUUAACCUGGGAACUGCGCUUGUGACUGCACAGCUAGAGUAUGGCAGAGGGGGGUGGAAUUCCACGUGUAGCAGUGAAAUGCGUAGAGAUGCGGAGGAACACCGAUGGCGAAGGCAGCCCCCUGGGCCAAUACUGACGCUCAUGCACGAAAGCGUGGGGAGCAAACAGGAUUAGAUACCCCUGUAGUCCCUGUCUCUUAUACA
rnacentral:rRNA from 1 species